GACGAACGCUGGCGGCGUGCUUAACACAUGCAAGUCGAACGGAAAGGCCCUGCUUUUGUGGGGUGCUCGAGUGGCGAACGGGUGAGUAACACGUGAGUAACCUGCCCUUGACUUUGGGAUAACUUCAGGAAACUGGGGCUAAUACCGGAUAGGAGCUCCUGCUGCAUGGUGGGGGUUGGAAAGUUUCGGCGGUUGGGGAUGGACUCGCGGCUUAUCAGCUUGUUGGUGGGGUAGUGGCUUACCAAGGCUUUGACGGGUAGCCGGCCUGAGAGGGUGACCGGCCAAAUUGGGACUGGGAUACGGCCCAGACGCCUACGGGAGGCAGCAGUGGGGAAUAUUGCACAAUGGGCGGAAGCCUGAUGCAGCAACGCCGCGUGCGGGAUGACGGCCUUCGGGUUGUAAACCGCUUUCGCCUGUGACGAAGCGUGAGUGACGGUAAUGGGUAAAGAAGCACCGGCUAACUACGUG
rnacentral:rRNA from 1 species